UUUCUUCUUCUUUGUUACAAAAUCAAUCUCUAACCCUAUGCUACCUUAUCCAACUAUACAAUAUUGUUCCUAACUUCUUAAGUUUUACACAUAUCGCCAAUUACAAUAUAAAGCCUAACACAAUGUCUAUAGAUGUGGUGAUCUUGUGUAGAUAAAGACCUCAUGGACAAACUUGAAACUGGGAAGAAGAUUUCUCACUUGCCCACAACGUCUCGAUGUCGAUGGAUGUAACCUUUUUGACAAGUACGACCCUCCAAUGUGCUACAGAUUGAGGGACAUAAUCUCUUGAUCUCUACGUGUUAGAAGAUAAAUGGAAGCUGAAUUAAACACCCUACGUGCAAGAAGCUGUGGUUCAUGGAAGACUUGGCUAUUAGGAAUCUUUCCUUCAUUUUGAAGAAUUUUGGAAUGUUUUUUUAUGAGUUAGAAAUUGAGUGUGUCAAUAGUCUUGUAACUUAUUUUCCAUUAAAUCAGACAUGCUAUCAAUAGUAUUGCCCUAAUUUUCAUUUCUCACACUUUUUUC
rnacentral:lncRNA from 1 species